rnacentral:rRNA from 1 species
AGAAUGACUCUCGGCAACGGAUAUCUAGGCUCUUGCAUCGAUGAAGAACGUAGCGAAAUGCGAUACUUGGUGUGAAUUGCAGAAUCCCGUGAACCAUCGAGUCUUUGAACGCAAGUUGCGCCCGAUGCCAUUAGGUUGAGGGCACGUCUGCCUGGGUGUCACAC